CCAAUAGCGUAUAUUAAAGUUGUUGCAGUUAAAAAGCUCGUAGUUGAACCUCGGGAUCAAUGGGUCGGUCAUGCCAAUGGUAUGUACUGGCCUCAUUGGUUCUCACCUUCUAAGGAACCAUGAUGUCAUUCAUUUGAUGUUGUGGGGAAUUAGGACUGUUACCUUGAAAAAAUUAGAGUGUUUAAAGCAGGCUAACGCUUGAAUACAUUAGCAUGGAAUAAUGAAAUAGGACAUCGCAUUCUAUUUUGUUGGUUUCUAGGAUCGAUGUAAUGAUUAAUAGGGAUAGUUGGGGGCAUUAGUAUUCAAUUGUCAGAGGUGAAAUUCUUGGAUUUAUUGAAGACUAACCACUGCGAAAGCAUUUGCCAAGGAUGUUUUCAUUAAUCAAGAACGAAAGUUAGGGGAUCGAAGACGAUCAGAUACCGUCGUAGUCUUAACCAUAAACUAUGCCGACUAGGGAUCGGAUGAUGUUGAUUUUUUAAUGACUCAUUCGGCGCCUUACG
rnacentral:rRNA from 1 species